AUCUUGAAAACGGAAAAUAAAAACAGCAGACCUAUGAAGGUCGAAGGGGAAGAAAAGCUGUAUCGAUUGUUGAGAUCUGGCGACUUGUUUAAAUUUCAUCAGCCUCACUUCUAUGAACUCUCAGGACAAACUGCAACAGAGUCACAUCGAGUUGAGACUUCUCCAAGGGCCAUGGGGUUGACAUCUGUAUUCUCAGAGCUGAUUACCAACUCCUACCACUGUUAACCCUCAUCCAGGAACAAGCUUAUGUCUUUAACAUUCUGAGUGGGCUUCAGCAUCCUUGCAUAUGUUCAAUUCUUAAAAACCUGUUGAAAUAAAAGAUCAGGAGACAUAGGAAGGAUGCCAGAAGAGAGCGUGGCCUCACGUGUACCAGCUCUCUGCUCUCCUUUGCCUUGGGACGUUCCAUCCCUGGAAGUUUCCCUGCCCACAUCUUUGUAGAGAGUCCAUUCUCCAAGCUUCAGUGUGUCAUCUGUGAGGACCGUGACCCACCUGGUACAUCGCCUCAGGGCAUUCAUUUCAGGCUCCUUCUAAAUGGCCAAGGUAAACCUCAGGUUCUCCUCCUGCCUUUUGCUAAGUAUAUGUCUUGAUGACAAGCCUUCUGCUGAUGAGCUGUGUUUCUGGACCGAUCAUGGUAGAAGUCAAUUAACGUGUCCCUCACUUGGGGUUUCUCAAGGACAUGCAAGGUCCUCAUGAUUGUCUCAAAACUAUAUAGAAUUGAGAAGCUGCACUGAUGAGGAAACUGAAACAGAAAAUCCAGAGUAAAUUCCACCAGGCCACACAGCAAGGUCUGAUAGAGCCAGGAGAGACUUUAUGAAAUCCAGACUCUCACACUAAUGCUCUAUCAGCUAGACCUCCAUGUGAGUCUCCCCAAUGUAGGUAGGAAGUGCUUUCCCUAAAAUGCUCAUAAAGCAAAUCAGAGCAAUGCUGCAUUCCAUGUGAUUUCUAAUUUGAAAUGCAAACAAUUGCCAAUUUGUUUGACUUGUAUUUAUAAUUAUUUCCUUGUGAAUUACUCAUCACUAAAUGCUUUAUAAAUAUUUUCUCUUUUUUUCCUCAAUGUCUAUGGAAUGAUCACAGCAUAGAAAAUGUUGGCUUUCAAGGAUUUAUUAAUAUCUCCUUUUGAAAUAACAUGUAUUUGUAAGACAGAAUAAAAUCACUUUAAAGAAACAAA
rnacentral:lncRNA from 1 species